rnacentral:pre_miRNA from 1 species
GUCAUACUCUCUUCGUCCGGAAUUAUUUGUCGUGGAAAUGAAUAAAAAUGGAUGUAUCUAGAACUAAAAUACAUCUAGAUAUAUCCAUUUCUCCGACAAGUAUUUCCGGACGGAGGGAGUAUAUG